rnacentral:rRNA from 1 species
GACGAACGCUGGCGGCGUGCUUAACACAUGCAAGUCGAACGGAAAGGCCCUGCUUUUGUGGGGUGCUCGAGUGGCGAACGGGUGAGUAACACGUGAGUAACCUGCCCUUGACUUUGGGAUAACUUCAGGAAACUGGGGCUAAUACCGGAUAGGAGCUCCUGCUGCAUGGGGGGGGUUGGAAAGUUUCGGCGGUUGGGGAUGGACUCGCGGCUUAUCCGCUUGUUGGUGGGGUAGGGGCAUACCAAGGGUUUGACGGGUAGCCGGCCUGAGAGGGUGACCGGCCACAUUGGGACUAAGAUACGGCCCAGACUGCUACGGGAGGCAGCAGUGGGGAAUAUUGCACAAUGGGCGGAAGCCUGAUGCAGCAACGCCGCGUGCGGGAUGACGGCCUUCGGGUUGUAAACCGCUUUCGCCUGUGACGAAGCGUGAGUGACGGUAAUGGGUAAAGAAGCACCGGCUAACUACGUG